rnacentral:lncRNA from 1 species
AUGAGGUUCCUGCGGGUAUUGACACCCAAAAGAAAGGCGGUGAAUUUUGAAAAGAUAACUUUGACACUCAUAAUUGACUUGCAGGUUAAAUUUCCACCUUCAUCCAAGAGAAUUGCUGCUCUAAUGUCAUUUUUUACAUUUCUGAAAGAAAUUGAGGAGUUGUGCAUGUUGAUCCACAUGGCUCUCGAUUCAUAUCUGUCUUAUCUUUGA